GCUGUAUUGAAAUCCCCUAGGGAAGUAGUUAAACAUGACACAAGACACAAGAAUGGCAUCUUGUUUUGUUCCCAGAAGUUAUCGAUUCAGACAAGCCGCAUUUGGAGUGGUCAGUUACUAUCUACCAGAGAAACGAGAACAAGCAGGCACAUACAUUACCGUUCCCAGUCACAGGCCAAAUAAAGCACGGUUGCUUUUCUGGAGUAAGAGACUGGACUGCAGGAGGCAUGGGGCUGCCACGUCACUAAGAGGUCAACUAUGGCUCGCUCUUCCUUCAUCCACUGAGAAUGCAAGAGCAAUGAAAUAACAAGAGUGAAAGGAAUUUCUUUCAGAGGUCACAGGAAACAAUCUCCGGAGUCCUCUGGGCUGUGGCUGUGUUGCUGGAGUAGCUCUGUGGGCAUGGAAGCUGUGACCGAAGGGUGGCCCCAAGCACAGUAUCCAUUACAACAGUGGCCACAUUACCAUCUCCUAACAAAGAAAAACAACAGUGAUGAAAAGUCCAGAAUUCCUGAAUAUCUUGCUGGAUGGUGGUGCCGGUAUCUGCGACAAAAGAUAAGAGAAAGCCAUGGAGGAAUGUUAUAGCUGCUUGAGUUGUCUGUGAGAUCCAGGAAUAGACAGUUGGAUUAUAUUGGUCCAAAGCUCAAAUUACACAGUGUUCUGGCUUGAGGACACAGGCCUGUCAGGCAGAAGUACAAAGGGCUAUACAUGAAAGCCCGUAUUUUUAUUUUUUUAAUUUAACUUUAUUUUAUGUGCUUUGGUGUUUUGCCAUGGGUGUCAGGUUCCCUGGAACUGGAGUUACAAACUUGUGAGCUGCCAUGUGGGUGCUGGGAAUUGAACCUGGGUCCUCUGGAAGAGCAGCCAGUGCUCUUAAGCACUGGGCCAUCUCUCCAGCCCACAAGCCCCCCCCCCUUUGAUAUUUAGCAACUCCUACUUUAUAAUUAUUCCCUUUUUGGUUGAUGACAAAUUUAAUUUUCUUGCCACCAGUGUAAGGUAUGCUGUUAAAAAUGGGCAAGAAAGAAUUGUUCCUUUCCUUUUGUAUUUCCUGUGAUACAGGGCAUUGAUUUCUGUUCUCUGCAGAGAUUUCCUUUAAGAAUGGCUGGCUGGUGAACAGGAAGGAGAGUGGAUGCUCUUAGAUGAUUUGGGAAGAAGUCCCUCAGUUGCUCUUCUUGUCCCAGCCAGACUUAUUCUUAGGAAUCUGUCUAUUACAGAGUUAGGGAGAUAUUUAUAAUAUUUGCAAUGAAUGUUAAACUAAAUUUCAGGUCACCAAGAUGCCUCUGCAUAUAAAGGUGUUCGCUGUAAACCUUAUGGCCUGAAUCCAGCACCCAGGAUAUACAUAGUGAAAGAGGAGAACUGACUCCCACAAUGGUCUUCUGAUCUACAUACAUGUGCUGUUUGGUACGUGUGCAUGGGUGUGUGCACACUCACAUACCCCCACACACACACCAGAUAAACACAGGGAUUUUUUUUCCUCUGAUUUCUUCAAGAGUGCUGUAACAUGCAUAUAUCCACAUAGUUACAUAAGAUAAAUAAAUGCUUCUAAAAACGUUUAAGAAUAGUUAAGGCUUGGUGGAACAUACCUUUAAUGCCAGCAUUCAGGAGGCAGAGGUAGGCAG
ensembl:lincRNA